rnacentral:lncRNA from 1 species
GACAUCAAAGGCAAGGUAGGAAGAAAACAACAGAGCCAGCAGCAAGGCCAGAACUGGAGAGCUUGCCUAAGCAUUUACUCAUCUUCAUUGUUCCUCUCCCAAACAUGAGCUUGUGAGGCAGGCCCUGCCGCCCUGAGGCUGCCCUGAGGAGUCACAAGACAAAGACAAGAGCACCUCAGCGCCCAGACUACUGCCUUCCCAUAACCAGUGGUCUGGGUAACCAGCUCCUACACAGCCAAUCUGAACUGAUUCACACUUAAGCCCCGGGCUGGCUAUCCAGCCACAGGCUAGCACAGGGGACUGCAAAUCAGAGCAAGGAAGACAGCAAUGGCCUUCCUAGCAAACAAGGGACGCAGGCAGUGAGGGCCUAGAAUAAGCUGGCUACACCUCAGGUGCCAUGAUGUCUGCAAAGCGUAAUGACCUUUAUCCUUAGGGGAAUCAGAAGGAUGCUCACUGCCUAGAAAACUCCAGCACUGGGGUUCUGGCUCAGUGGUAGAAUCUUGCCUAGAGUAAGCAAAUACCCAGAUUCUAUCCCCAAAACUGAAUUAAAAAAAAAAAAACAAAUUUCAAAAUUCAGAUUGAAAGACAGCUCAGUGAGUACCCGUAAUUGCAUAGAAACCUAACAACCUGGGUUCACAUCCCCAGAACCCAAAUACUUCCCGAAGCAAGGUCAAACCUAUUCUAUGGGGGUUCAAAAGUCCUGUGCCUUCCCCCCUCUGCCCCAGCCCACAGAUCAGGAUGUAGAACUCUCAGCUACUUCUGCCUGUGUGCUGGCAUGCUCUUUACCAUGAUGAUAAGAGACUAACUUCUGAAGCUGUAGAGCAAGCCCACACUCAAUUCUUCAUUCCUAGGUGUUGCCUCAGUCGUGGCCUUUUCACAGCCACAGAACAGUACCUAAGACAACUCCCCGUGGUGUUCCACCC